CUACGGGGCGCUCCAGUGAGGAAUAUUCCGCAAUGGGCGAAAGCCUGACGGAGCAAUGCCGCGUGUAGGAUGAAGCCCCUCGGGGUGUAAACUACUUUUCUAUGGGAACAAUUUUGAGGGUACCUUAGGAAUAAGCCACGGCUAAUCACGUGCCAGCAGCCGCGGUAAUACGUGAGUGGCAAGCGUUAUCCGGAAUAAUUGGGCGUAAAGCGUCACCAGGGGGGAAAUUAAGUCAAAUGUAAAAGAUCUCGGCUCAACCGAGGGAAAGCAUUUGAAACUGGUUUUCUAGAAGGUAGUAGAGGCAGAUGGAAUUCCCGGCGUAGGAGUAAUAUCCGUUGAUAUCGGGAGGAACACCAAUAGCGAAGGCAAUCUGCUGGACUUACCUUGACCCUCACUGACGAAAGCGUGGGUAGCAAACGGGAUUAGAUACCCUCGUAGUC
rnacentral:rRNA from 1 species